GCAGCGCACCCAUCCCCGCCGCCAUACCUGCCGUCCACUGCGCCACCCAUCCUCACCUCGCCCCGCCCGCCGCCUCCCCUUCACGCCGGCGCCCGCUCGCCUCGCCUGCACUGGUCGCCACGCGCUCGCCCCGCAAGGCAAGGAGCUCCCUUCCCCAACCCGAUCUGAUGGAAAGAGGACCAAGCCUUAACGGUCCGGUGUUCGUUGUGGCCAUAUCCGGCUAUGGGAGCCACCGUAGAGCCUCCAUGUCGGUGGAGCAGAGCAGCCCGUCGGUGGUCACGACCACGUCAUUCCCUGAUCUCGUCCCGCAGAUCACCGUCUUGCUCCUCCGCUCCGCCGCCAUUCCGUUGGAGAUGAGGAUUGCAUUGUUGCGCCGCCGCCGCCGCCACUUCCUACAGACUCCCUGACUCACAGUGCAAGACAUCCCAACUCGGGUCCAUCCGGGUAAAUGCCGCCGCCGCCCUUGGCAGGAUCCCUUUUGGCGGCUUGGAUCUAGGCAAAAGAGGAGCGGAAGGAGAGAAGUACGUCUAUGACUCGGGUCAUGGGGAUGGAUGGAUCUCUCGGUACAACGAUGGCAAAUAUUUGUUUUCAUCAGAAGUAUAUUUUCAUGAGAUACAAUGGCAAUCAGGCGGCACAUGCAGAAGAGUUGUGGAAGGUUGAUUGAGAAGUCAUAAGGACUGGGUGAAGCAAAAUGCAAUCUCCAAGUUUCAGGUUUCAAAAUGAGAAAUUGGAGCAUUGAGACCUUUGAACUGAAACCUAAAUAAAGAAUUGUGCAUGCAUCCAACAGAGAAAGGUGCGUACAUAUCCUGAGGGACAAUAAAAAAUGUGAGUUCUUUAUGGCAUAAUAUCAGGCACCGUUCUGAGUGAUCUCUUUGCAACUCAAGAUACCGAUUAGUUAUAUUAUUUCCUACCUGUAACCAAUUUCUGCACACCAAAACACAGAGUCAAGUCAGAUCUAUAGGAGGAUAAGUGUUCUUGGUGUGAUUACUAAUGAGACAAUGUAAGGAAUUGUUUCUAGAACUCAAUUUUAUUAUAAGUUCAAUAUCAGCACCACACAAUCUUUCUACUACCAUUCCUAGACAAAUAUCAACCCGUUACACAAGACAAUGCAAGAAAACAUAUGUCACACAGGACUAUUCUAUUACCGUGCGCUUCACCGCUGCCGUCGAUGUUCCCAGCAGGCCACAUAUCCUCCAAUGGCAAUCUCAUGGGUCAUCUGAUGAGACCGAUAUGAACCAAACUUUUAGCUUAAUGAUGCAUGGUUAGAUAUAGAUAGAAGAACCGGUUGUACUAUAUCUUUUUUUUGCCCUGAAGUAGCGCUUCUACUUCUGAUUCAUGUCUACUUCAUGGUUGACAUCUUAAAGAAAAAAUACUCUAAAUUAAAAGGUGCAAAGAUUCUGUGGAUGACAUCCAUGCAUUAAUGCAUAUAGCUCUGAGUCUUCCUUUUCUCUUAUAUAUGAAUCUAUAAUCUGCUUUUGUCCAAUGGUACAAUUUAUCAAGUUCAACAAGGGUGUGGUUAGUGCCUUUUGUCCAUUCAAUCCAAAAACGGAUCGGGUUCUACUAUCGAAAGCGAUAACAAAAAAAACAUGAAAAAUGAACCAGGUUAGUUCCUUUUUUUGCUAAGAUUUACAAUUAAAGUCAAAUUAGUACUUAAUCUAAUGAAGGUCAAACUUUUGUCUUUACUGAUUUUUGUCUGGUUCGCAGGAGAGAGGGGCGAGUUCCCCGGCAUGGGGUCAUGAGUGGUACAAACUGGAAGAUGCAUGCCGAUGGUUCUGUCAGUACAAUUUGCUUAGAUUUUCAGUCCUUUUCACCUCAUAAUUAUCUUUUCUUUAUGUGUUAGUACGGUUAAACUUCUUUAUCUUUUGUUCCUUCCUACUUAUGGCCUUCGUGUGCACCUUGAUUAAGUUCUGGUGUUUAUUCGGUGCCAAUGUCUUAAGACAAUAGUUUCAUGCAUGGAUUUAUUCCAGCAUUCUAAUUUAGAGACCUUUGUGCCAGACAGUUUGUUGCAUUCACCUUAAUAGAGAUAAUAAAAUCUUACUGAGUAACAAGCGUAAUGAUGGAGGAACGGACGUCAAUUUAAAGGUGCAUAUUAUUCAGCUUGAUUCAUUGUUGAGGAUUUUUUAAUACAUGGCUUCUAAUUCCAGACCAAGAACUUAAUUCAGAAUCUAAAAAUUGAAGGGGAGGUAGAGGGAUAUUGUUGGUGCUGUCCAGAAACAAUGCUCAUUUAUUUAUUACAGUCGAUGUAUUUCUUGUGUGUCUCAUUGAUUGAGUAUUUGAGUUGGAGCAUAAGUAUAUUAAUGUCUUAGAAUUUGCACAUAUGCUUUAUCCACUUGUCAUUGCUAUUUACAAGUCACAUAUUUAUAUUUGGAUUACAGAUUCUUUGUACUUAUUGUUGUACUUCGUGUUUUCUAUUGAGUGUGGUACCUCUUGAAGGAGGGAAAGCUAGGAUUCAUUGAUGACUGAGGUGCAGAAACUGUUGGACACGUACAAGGACGAGGAGGUGAGCAUCACGGUAAUGGGGCACAACCUCGGGACGGAGCUGGCCACCCUGAAUGCGUUGUACAUCGCCGAGAAUGGCCGGUCACGGUGUUUGCGUUCGACAGCCCAUGACCGGGCGCAGCCGGCUUCAAGAAGCGGUUCGACGUCACUGCGGCCUUUGCGACCGCAACGCCGGGACAUCGUGCCCAGGUACUCGGCGCUGCUGUAACAUGAUAUGGGCUCCGAGCUGGCCAUCGACAUCGGCACAUCGCCAUACCUGAGGCCUGAGGGUGUCGCAAGGUCAGUCCAAUCAAUCUCCUACGCCAUAGACGAUGCCCCGACUUUUUUUAUGUCCAUCGACAAUGAUUCCUCACAUAUAAACCAUGCGGCAACCAUGGACGACCUUUUCCUGAAGAAUCUAUUGUUUGCUCCAGUGGAUUUGAUCUUUAGUCUUCCCUUUCUUUCUAUGGUUGUGAGUAAUCUAAUCCAAUUCGCAGCUCCAUGCACGAUCAAGGCUAGGGUGUGAAUUAUGACUGUGUCGUAUGAGGCCAUGAUUGUGGCAGGGAUGUUUGGUGGCACGAAGUUGUUUAGUAACAAGAUGGGUCUAAACUCAGCUACUAGAGAUCUGAGCUGAAGCACAGGAGGAGUUCCUAUCAUCAGUUCUAGCCGUAAAGUCGAAUGCCUAUGUUGGUGAGCUCUAUAAUCCAAACACCCAGAAGAUGGUACCCUCUUCGUUCCAUAAUAAAAGAUCUUAUUACAUUCGAUGUAAUAAGAUCUUAUAUUAUCGGAUAGCAGGAGUAGAUGUUAUUUUGUACUCUUAGCAUGUAAGUUGUUUUAAACUUUUUAUUAGCAGCUUGUGACUUUUCUAAAAAGUAAGGUCAUGUAGGCACAUGGAGCGCUCCUUUUUUUCGUCACUUUCUACUCAAUUGUAGAGGUUUAUUUAUUGCAGUAUAAUAAUUACUUCUUGUUGAGGUUACUUUGCAGCACUUGCUGUCCUUGCCUUUUCUGAUAUCAAGGGGCCAAUACAACUUCUCUGAUUAUAAAUGUGUGCAACAUGACUAUUUGAAAGAAGCUCUGUUUGAGAAAUUGAGGCUAGAGUUCUGAUGUAAGUACGGCAUCAGCAUUUGUGAGCGCCUUUAUAUGCU